CCCCGUUCGUCCACCCGCUCGCUCGCCCUCCCGUUCCCGGUAAUGACAAUCAUUACGGGGAAUGAUUGCAGCGUCGGGUCCGCCAGCGCGCCAGCCGCUAUUGGGGGAUGGAAACCACCUUAUAGAGUCUCUCCUCGGUCCUCGAUGCGAGCGGAUUGUCACAUGCUCCCGGCACGGCAAAGUGUUUCCUCUUCGUGCCGACUUCCUUCGGGACCCGACAGUGCGAAAAGCUCCCUUUAUCGACGACCUGACCGCCAACGACGACACGGGAAACCUUCGGUCCCGGUGGGCUGCGAAAAAUGGCCGACCGACAGCUUCGAUUCGACGGUUCCUCGAUCACGUGGACAAACUUAAGUGACCGAGCACGUUCCAUUGUCAGUGAUCGCGAACACCGAGCGCUGUGUUAGUUGCUGUUUUACUUAAUCGAGUCUCAGAGCUUCCGAUCCUGUGGAGUUUCGAACGAAGAUUUUCGAUCAGAAUUCGAGACAGUUGGUAUACUACGAAGUGACAUUUCGAUAUCGGUGAAUCAGUAAGAGGCAAAUUCAUCGAAUGUAACGGACGUGGGACGAGGAGACGUGGAAAAGUUCGCUGACAAGGACCGACGGCGGCCGUGCUGCCAGAAGAAUAUGGCGGUCGAGGCACCACGUGACCGGCCACCUGUACGGAAGACGGACCUUGAGUUGCAGGUGCAGCGGCGACCCAGCCACCACGCCGCGGGGGGAGAAAAAAAAAGGGAACGAGAACCUUGAACCGAUCGUAAAUGGCUCGGAGUGAAAGCGGUCGAGUCUCCGCGGUUUUCCCAGAAGAGCGCGCGAGCCGCCAAAUUAUCGACCUGUAAAUCGGAAUGAAGGAUCUCUGGUUUUCUUGCCCGGCGCGGCGCGGCGGAUCGGCAGAAAGUCGCGCGAGCGCCCGAGAUCGAGACACGGUCCAGGCUGGCGGCGUCCAGAGCGGCGAAAAAAUUCAUCGAUAAUUGUGAUCUCGGAAGUCCGAGGGGGGAAAAAAAAUAGGGGAUGCAACCCGUUUGUUCGGGUUUUAUCGAUCGGUAUUAAAAUGCCUGGACGGCUCGGUGGGAAUGCUCGGCGUACCGUUCGCUUCGACAAUUUGCCAGAUUAUGAACGAAGAUACAGGAACGAUGCUUAGCGCCGCAUUAUCCUAACGACUUCCAGGUUACUUCGGAUACGUGGACGUCGACUCGAAGAUUUCCAUCGGGAAUAUCCUUGGGCUAUGCGCGAGGUGAUUGAUGGAACCUAGCUGGUCCCAACUGGUCCCCGUUCUAACGGAAUUGUCACUCAUUCUACAGAUUCUUUGCGCGAAAAUCGCUUAACGAGUGCGAGUUUUGGUACCGAUGAUGUCAAUGAGGAGUGAAUAAAUGGUCAUUCCGCGGGA